CAGCUUCCUAAGAAAAACAAGGCAGUAGGAAGUGAGUGCUUCCCCUUCUCCUAAGGAUGGAAUCAAGAGCUCCUCGAGCCACGGGACUCAUGGAAACUUGCUGAGGGAGAUGUUCAUCUGACACACUCUCACCCCAGAGAUUUCACCAGACUUCGGUGCUUUAGGGGGCUGUUGUACCAUCUACAGAGGGUUUGGCAAACACGAGCUCCCUCUUUGGAAGGGAAAACGGCCACACUUGGCUUUUAAUGAUGGAAUUGGCUCUCAGCUGUCCCAGCACCAACAGCCUCGGGACAAACAUCUCCUCUGGCAGGACACAGGCUUUCCAGACAACCACCAAACCCCACCGUAACCAGAUCCACGAGAGCCAAAGGCAUCUGGGAGGUGACCUUAGGACAUCCAGAAUAUCCUCAUCUCCCACAGCUUUAGGCUACAGAGGGAGUCUCACCAUCAUUUAAGCACCAGCAGUCUGAGCACAGGACAGGGGCCAUAAAUACUUUCUACUUCCCCUCCAAUUCCCCACAUCAGCACUUAAACAACUCUGCCAGGGAAUGGAGCCACGGGCUUAUCCAUCUAUUUUUCCAAAUGCCAGCAAUAUUUUAAUAGUCUUUUGUGCCACAAAGUAAAUACCAAGAAACAUCCCC